rnacentral:sRNA from 1 species
UUUGGGUGCAUCUUCUGGUUUUGUUAGA